CCAAGAAAGAAGCACUGAAUGAAGUCCAGAAUUACUCCUUCCUGGAAAGUGCAAUCAGGUCACCCAGAGAUGUGCCUGGAGGAAAAACAGCUCAGCCCAGAGAUGAUAUUGAACUGCCAAACUGGACAAUGCCAGAACCACCUUUGUUUGCUGACUGGAGGAACAUUGCCCAGAGCCUGGGAUGCCUGUAGAAUCCUGGAAGGAAUCUGCUGAGGAGGAUUACCAAAAGUCUGUGUCGAGCAGGUAUGUGGAAAUAAUGAGUGUUGUCAUCAACAUGAAGGAAGUAGCCAGAAAAAUAUCCUUCAGCUCCCAGCUGGCUGAGUAGGAAAGGUGGAAGGCAGUGAAUCAACAAGGGUGAGCCACUAAAAAGAGCAAGGACCAAGAAGCCCAGUUCCCAGAGGUGGUGAUGGUACCUGAAGGGAAUGGACAGCAGGUGGAAGAUGGUUAAAUCCUUGAGACAGCCCUGAUGUCAUUUUGUCUUCAUUCUUUGUCCAAAAGAUGAUGGCCACGUGUGUCUGGCCUGGCAGGAGCUUUCUUGUGAAUUAAUGAAACAUCAAGGCUGCACUGCCAGCCAGAUUGGAGUGGUGUGUUUCCAAGAGAGAGCCUGAGCUGGCAGACCCUCAGCUGCUACAAAUCAAUUAAGUCCCUCUGAUUCCAGCAGAGAGGGCCACUGACUACAGCUGCAGGAUCUGGCCCAUUCCACGCUGGAACAGAAAGACUGCAUUCAUUUUGCCGAGAGCUGGACUAGUUAAAAUUUAAAUGCUGUUAAAUUUUAAAAUCACAAUUUAAUUUAAAAUUCCCUUUGCAGUUUCUUUUAGUGACAGCAUUCCUCAUUUCUGCUGAGAAGCUGAGACCUAACCUUUGGCUGAGACUGCCACAUCAGAGUUUCACUGUCCUGUGGCCAGCAGGUGUGAUGUGUCUUGCCCUCAAUUUUUUUUAUGAGCCCAGUUUCUUGCUUCUCUUGGUCAAAUAACUGUAAUAAGAAUAAUCAUGGAAUCACGGAAUCACAGAAUCAAAAGCGGGUUGGGUUGGAGGCACCUUAAAGAUUCUCCAGUUCCAACCCUGUGCUACAGGCAGGGACAGCUUCCCCUGGACCAGGCUGCUCACAGCUCCAUCCAGCCUGGCCUAAAUAGCAUCAAAGGUCAGCCAGAACUCCCCAAAUUGCCUGAAUCCCUGGAAAGCAGCAGCA